AAGAAAGUGGCAGAAUGGCGAUGCGACUGGCUUGAAACCAGUACAUGGGGGUUCGAUUCCCUCCUUUCUCG
rnacentral:tRNA from 1 species